rnacentral:rRNA from 1 species
AAGAGACAGCAGCCGCGGGAAUACGAAGGGUGCAAGCGUUACUCGGAAUUACUGGGCGUAAAGCGUGCGUAGGUGGUGGUUUAAGUCCGUUGUGAAAGCCCUGGGCUCAACCUGGGAAUUGCAGUGGAUACUGGGUCACUAGAGUGUGGUAGAGGAUAGUGGAAUUUCCGGUGUAGCAGUGAAAUGCGUAGAGAUCGGAAGGAACAUCUGUGGCGAAGGCGACUAUCUGGGCCAACACUGACACUGAGGCACGAAAGCGUGGGGAGCAAACAGGAUUAGAUACCCCUGUAGUCCCUGUCUCUUAUACACA